GGGAGAGGCCAGUAUAUCUGUAACUUUGGUAAGUGGUGUGUGCAAUCCAGCAUACAUCUUGGAAGAAGGUUACUGCUAGUCGAGAGGAACAGGGUGUAUUGUAGGUCAGUGCUGAGGACUUACUCUAGAAGAUUUGUGAAACUGGAUGAAAUUGGAGGUGAUGUAUGUAAGAGUUCCUGAGAGUCGUGGUAGAACAUCUUAUAUCUCAAGGCACAAGGAGAGAAAUGCAAGCUCCUCCUAGAAGGACUUUUGUUCCCCUAGGUUCAGAAUUUUGAAAAGAUGUUUUAUCAAAGCAAUUUCUUUAACUAUGCAAAAACCAGUUUUGGAAUGUGAAACAACCCCAUCUUGGCCAUUUCAGGGUUUCCUUGAGUUCCCAAUUAAAUAAAUACUUAUGGAAGUAUUUGUUGGCUCCUCUU
rnacentral:lncRNA from 1 species